AGACCCGAAACCCGGUGAUCUAGCCAUGGGCAGGUUGAAGGUUGGGUAACACUAACUGGAGGACCGAACCGACUAAUGUUGAAAAAUUAGCGGAUGACCUGUGGCUGGGGGUGAAAGGCCAAUCAAACCGGGAGAUAGCUGGUUCUCCCCGAAAGCUAUUUAGGUAGCGCCUCGUGAAUUCAUCUCCGGGGGUAGAGCACUGUUUCGGCUAGGGGGCCAUCCCGGCUUACCAACCCGAUGCAAACUGCGAAUACCGGAGAAUGUUAUCACGGGAGACACACGGCGGGUGCUAACGUCCGUCGUGAAGAGGGAAACAACCCAGACCGCCAGCUAAGGUCCCAAAGUCAUGGUUAAGUGGGAAACGAUGUGGGAAGGCCCAGACAGCCAGGAUGUUGGCUUAGAAGCAGCCAUCAUUUAAAGAAAGCGUAAUAGCUCACUGGUCGAGUCGGCCUGCGCGGAAGAUGUAACGGGGCUAAACCAUGCACCGAAGCUGCGGCAGCGACGCUUAUGCGUUGUUGGGUAGGGGAGCGUUCUGUAAGCCUGUGAAGGUGGCCUGUGAGGGUUGCUGGAGGUAUCA
rnacentral:rRNA from 1 species